UUGUUAUUGCGGGGGAACCUCACGGUUGAGAAGGUUAAAACCUGACCCUUGGAACCUGUCAGUUAACACUGUCGUAGGGAAGCAAUGCAAGUAUUAAA
rfam:Treponema caldarium DSM 7334, complete genome.